rnacentral:tRNA from 3 species
GCGCCCAUCGUCUAGCGGUUAGGACGCCGCCCUUUCACGGCGGAAACAGGGGUUCGAUUCCCCUUGGGCGUGCCA